rnacentral:lncRNA from 10 species
AUGGCCUGUUGCUCUGAGGUUAUAAACCUAUACAGCACACUACUGUACUAAAUACUGUAGGAACUGAAUAUUCAAUUGGAACACAAUGCACAGCAUGGAGAUUGUCCUGUUGAAUCCUCCCCCCUCUGGAUAGCAGCAAAAGAGAAGAGGACUGAGGAAGGUCAAAGAACUGACUCCAGCUUGAAUUGCUAAGAAAGCAGAGGGAUCAGGAUGCAGCCAAG